rnacentral:rRNA from 1 species
CCUACGGGAGGCAGCAGUGAGGAAUAUUGGUCAAUGGACGCAAGCCUGAACCAGCCAUGCCGCGUGCAGGAAGACGGCUCUAGGCGUCGUAAACUUCUUUUGUCGGGGGGCAAACUCGGCCACGCGUAUCCUUGUGAGUGUACCCUACGAAAAAGCAUCGGCUAACUCCGUGCCAGCAGCCGCGGUAAUACGGAGGAUUCAAGCGUUAUCCGGAUUUAUUGGGUUUAAAGGGUGCGUAGGCCGGCUUGUAAGUCAGCUGUGAAAGUCCGGGGCUCAACCCCGGCAUGGCAGUUGAAACUGGCGGACUAGAGAGGGCGAGAGGAAGGCGGAAUGCACGGUGUAGCGGUGAAAUGCAUAGAUAUCGUGAAGAACUCCGAUCGCGAAGGCAGGGGACCGGGGUGGGACUGACGCUGAGGCACGAAAGUGCGGGUAUCGAACAGGAUUAGAUACCCUUGUAGUC